rnacentral:rRNA from 1 species
UACGUAGGGGGCUAGCGUUAUCCUGAAUUACUGGGCGUAAAGGGUGCGUAGGUGGUUUCUUAAGUCAGAGGUGAAAGGCUACGGCUCAACCGUAGUAAGCCUUUGAAACUGGGAAACUUGAGUGCAGGAGAGGAGAGUGGAAUUCCUAGUGUAGCGGUGAAAUGCGUAGAUAUUAGGAGGAACACCAGUUGCGAAGGCGGCUCUCUGGACUGUAACUGACACUGAGGCACGAAAGCGUGGGGAGCAAACAGGAUUAGAUACCCUGGUAGUCCCUGA